GACGAACGCUGGCGGCGUGCUUAACACAUGCAAGUCGAGCGGUAAGGCCCUUUCGGGGGUACGACGAGCGGCGAACGGGUGAGUAACACGUGGGUGACCUGCCCUCAGCUCUGGGAUAAGCCUGGGAAACCGGGUCUAAUACCGGAUAUGACUCCAUGACGCAUGUUGUGGGGUGGAAAGCCUUGUGCGGCUGAGGAUGGGCCCGCGGCCUAUCAGCUUGUUGGUGGGGUGAUGGCCUACCAAGGCGACGACGGGUAGCCGGCCUGAGAGGGCGACCGGCCACACUGGGACUGAGACACGGCCCAGACUCCUACGGGAGGCAGCAGUGGGGAAUCUUGCGCAAUGGGCGAAAGCCUGACGCAGCGACGCCGCGUGAGGGAUGACGGCCUCGGUCGUAACUA
rnacentral:rRNA from 1 species